rnacentral:rRNA from 1 species
UACGAAGGGUGCUAGCGUUGUUCGGAAUUACUGGGCGUAAAGGGUGCGUAGGUUGUUUGGCAAGUUAGUGGUGAAAGCCCAGAGCUUAACUCUGGAAUUGCCAUUAAAACUGCCAGGCUAGAGAGUGUUAGAGGUGAGUGGAAUUUCUAGUGUAGGAGUGAAAUCCGUAGAUAUUAGAAGGAACAUCAAUGGCGAAGGCAGCUCACUGGGUCACAUCUGACACUGAGGCACGAAAGCGUGGGGAGCAAACAGG